GGUGGCUCAGUGGUAGAGCGCAUGCCUUGCAUACCUGAGGCCCUGGGUUCAAUUCCUCAGCACCA
rfam:Dipodomys ordii contig_38721, whole genome shotgun sequence.